AACCAUAGAAACCUGCGGAGUACCUGCGGAGGGAUCAUUUCAGAGUUGCAAAACUCCCUAAACCAUUGUGAACGUUACCUAAACCGUUGCUUCGGCGGGCGGCCCGGGUCCUUCCCGGCGCCCCUCGGCCCUCGCGGGCGCCCGCCGGAGGUAAACCAAACUAUUGCAUUGUAUGGCCUCUCUGAGUCUUCUGUACUGAAUAAGUCAAAACUUUCAACAACGGAUCUCAGAUCGGAAGAG
rnacentral:misc_RNA from 1 species